rnacentral:misc_RNA from 1 species
GAUGAAGAACGCAGCGAAAUGCGAUAAGUAAUGUGAAUUGCAGAAUUCAGUGAAUCAUCGAAUCUUUGAACGCACAUUGCGCCCGCCAGUAUUCUGGCGGGCAUGCCUGUUCGAGCGUCAUUUCAACCAUCAAGCCCCCGGGCUUGUGUUGUGGACCUGCGGCUGCCCGCAGGCCCUGAAAACCAGUGGCGGGCUCGCUGUCACACCGAGCGUAGUAGCAUAUCAUCUCGCUCUGGGCGUGCUGCGGGUUCCGGCCGUUAAAGCCUUUUUUUUUUACCCAAGGUUGACCUCGGAUCAGGUAGGAAGACCCGCUGAACUUAAGCAUAUCAAUAAGCGGAGGA